UACCCGCAGCACAAGUGGUGGUCAUUAUUAUUGGGCCUAAAGCGUCCGUAGCUGGCCUGUUAGAUGCCUGGGUAAAUCGAUGCGCUCAACGCAUCGAACUCCGGGUAGACCGGCAGGCUUGGGACCGGGAGAGGCGUGAGCUACUCGGGGGGUAGGGGUAAAAUCCUGUAAUCCUCCGGGGAGGACCAGUGGCGAAGGCGUCACGCUAGAACGGCUCCGACAGUGAGGGAUGAAGCCCUGGGGCGCAAACCGG
rnacentral:rRNA from 1 species